CGGUAAUAUGGUUUCAAGGUGAUCUUGGGGUCACAUAAAUUCUUCUGAUGCCUCGGGCGCUGGAGAAGAUGAAAAUCUUUAUGGAAACACCACUGAAAAUGGAAGCCGAUGGUCCCACCUCAAUAACAAGGGAAUAAGGAGCUUACCACACCUUUUAUCCUUGACACCCAUUGGGCUACAAGUUUCCAGUCUGGCUUACAGCUGAAGAAAUUUCCACCACGUAGACAAUGGGAAGACAAGAAAAUGUUUUGGAUGUUGCUGCCAAGGGCAGUCAGCUCAUUUGACUCUAUCUACUAUGCUGCAUUUGAGAUUUUGUCAAUGCCAUUGAAUACAAAGGUGAAAGCAAGAGCCCAUAAAUAUGGCUGCAUCAAAAAGACAUGCAUAGAAUGGUGAAAAAUUUGAGUUGCUUGAUGUUCACAUUUCUCGGCUGAGGUUGAAUGAGGCUCCAGAAACUGACCAGCAAGCCUGCAGACCAGCAGAUGGAUGGAGGAAUGACGGGGCAGAGAAAGGGAGAAGAGGAGGAACAUCUGAACGCCAAGAGGAAUAAGGCUGGGGGCAGUCCGAAAGGAUUCUGUUUGCUGGGCGGCCCGACCCCAGGGGAGGAUCAUUUUCCCACUCCAUCCCCUGCUUCUGACUCCCCAUUUAUCCUGCUGAAAGUCACCUCCACCUCCACCUCCACCACUCAAUAAAACUUCGCAUUCAUCCUUCGAGUUCGUGCGUGACCCGAUUUUUCCGGGAGGCUGGACAAAAGCCCGGGAUACGGAAAGCUGUCACGCUGGCCCUCUGCCCUUGCAAAAAGGCAGAGGGUCCAUUGAGCUGAUUAACACUAAAGCCAUCUGUGGAGAGCAAAGCUGAAAGAGCUCUGUAACACUGGGGUUGCAGGAAACCACCUCUAGACUGUACCGCCGGGCUGGAGCCCAAAGCGCUCUUCCGGCCUGUAUACCUGCUAAUCUGCACGCUCCCCGUCUUUCAAGAGGUUUGAGCAGCAGGGCUACUGAACAGGCAAGCCACACUUCUGUUGCACAUCCUGUGAGGGGAAUCAGGGACCUGUCUGGUUGCAAAGGAAUUACAGACAUGAGCCACUGUGUCUGACCCAUUUAUCUUAAAUUUAAGGGGAUAACAAUGCGGGAAGCUGGAAUCUAGAGGAACCACAGUAACUUUGAUCUCUAGCUGUGAGGAAGAACAUGCCUGCUUCCCAAGUGACCAUCCUCCCAGCACCAUGAUAUCUAUGAGAUCAAGGGCUCCAGAGAUUACAGAGACAGCUUUUGGCGAGUGUCAGUGUCCAGGUUGACUGCUGGACAUUUCCUGCCAAUGUGUUCUAGGGAG
rnacentral:lncRNA from 1 species